GGCGAUAACAAUAUUUGGCAGAAUGCGCAAUCAUUAUGCGGGUAAUGGGGGAGGACACAUUACCUUAUACAAAAAACAUUUAAAACUAAAAUACAUGUAUCAUUUUAUAACAUAAUAAUGAUAUUUCGUUUACAAAAUUAAAAAAAUCCAGGAUUAUUAUAUGUUAUUAAAUUACAGAUACAGUAUUUGAGAGUGGUACACUGUAUAUUACAAGAAGUUGUUUUAAGAAACAGCCUGUAAAUGAAA